rnacentral:tmRNA from 1 species
GGGGGUGUAUUGUUUCGACAGGAAUGCACAUUAAAAACUGCAAGCCGAAUACGAUUCUAAAGUGCGUUAUACUUUGAAUCAAAAUUUACGUGCAGAAGAUAAUUCUGACGCAAGACUGUUUGCCCUUACGGGUGGGCAGCCAGCUCUCGCUUUCGCUUAAUAUUUUUUAAGCAAAGCCUUAGAGCUUGUCUCUUUAAUUUUUUCCCGGUGGGAUUAUUGAGGCAACAACUUAGCCGGGAGUAGUUACAAUUAGUUGAUCAAUAAUUGUAAUGAAACUUUGAUCUUUGCUUUGUUUCUGUUUGUUAAUCGACAAAGAGGUGAGGCGAGAUUUUAAAGAUUAACUAAGCUUGUAGAUGUUUUUAAUUAGCUUUUCUUGGACACGAGCUCAAACUCGUCACCUCCACUU